rnacentral:rRNA from 1 species
UGGGGGAAUAUUGGACAAUGGGCGAAAGCCUGAUCCAGCAAUGCCGCGUGAGUGAUGAAGGCCUUAGGGUUGUAAAGCUCUUUUACCCGGGAUGAUAAUGACAGUACCGGGAGAAUAAGCUCCGGCUAACUCCGUGCCAGCAGCCGCGGUAAUACGGAGGGAGCUAGCGUUAUUCGGAAUUACUGGGCGUAAAGCGCACGUAGGCGGCUUUGUAAGUUAGAGGUGAAAGCCUGGAGCUCAACUCCAGAAUUGCCUUUAAGACUGCAUCGCUUGAAUCCAGGAGAGGUGAGUGGAAUUCCGAGUGUAGAGGUGAAAUUCGUAGAUAUUCGGAAGAACACCAGUGGCGAAGGCGGCUCACUGGACUGGUAUUGACGCUGAGGUGCGAAAGCGUGGGAGCAACAGGAUAGAUACCCUGGUAGUCCACGCCGUAAACGAUGAUAACUAGCUGUCGGGGCUC